rnacentral:rRNA from 1 species
UACGUAGGGGGCAAGCGUUGUCCGGAUUUAUUGGGCGUAAAGAGCGUGUAGGCGGCCAGGUAGGUCUGCUGUGAAAACUCGAGGCUUAACCUCAAGAUGUCGGCGGAAACCAUCUGGCUAGAGUCCGGAAGAGGAGAAUGGAAUUCCCGGUGUAGCGGUGAAAUGCGCAGAUAUCGGGAAGAACACCCGUGGCGAAGGCGGUUCUCUGGGACGGUACUGACGCUGAGACGCGAAAGCGUGGGGAGCGAACAGG